rnacentral:rRNA from 1 species
UACGUAGGGGGCGAGCGUUGUCCGGAUUUAUUGGGCGUAAAGAGCUCGUAGGCGGUUUGGUAAGUCGGGUGUGAAAUCUCCACGCUCAACGUGGAGGGGCCACUCGAUACUGCCAUGACUCGAGUCCGGUAGAGGAGUGUGGAAUUCCCGGUGUAGCGGUGAAAUGCGCAGAUAUCGGGAGGAACACCGGUGGCGAAGGCGGUUCUCUGGGCCUGUGCUGACGCUGAGGAGCGAAAGCGUGGGGAGCGAACAGG